rnacentral:misc_RNA from 1 species
GAUGAAGAACGUAGCGAAAUGCGAUAAGUAAUGUGAAUUGCAGAAUUCAGUGAAUCAUCGAAUCUUUGAACGCACAUUGCGCCCCUUGGUAUUCCAUGGGGCAUGCCUGUUCGAGCGUCAUUUGUACCCUCAAGCUCUGCUUGGUGUUGGGUGUUUGUCCUCUCCCUAGUGUUUGGACUCGCCUUAAAAUAAUUGGCAGCCAGUGUUUUGGUAUUGAAGCGCAGCACAAGUCGCGAUUCUUAGCAAACACUUGCGUCCACAAGCCUUUUUUUAACUUUUGACCACGGAUCAGGUAGGGAUACCCGCUGAACUUAAGCAUAUCAAUAAGCGGAGGA